rnacentral:rRNA from 1 species
UACGGAGGGUGCAAGCGUUGUUCGGAAUUAUUGGGCGUAAAGCGCGUGUAGGCGGCUUGAUAAGUCUGGUGUGAAAGCCCGAGGCUUAACCUCGGAAGUGCACUGGAUACUAUCUAGCUAGAGGGUCGGAGAGGGAAGCGGAAUUCUUGGUGUAGGGGUGAAAUCCGUAGAUAUCAAGAGGAACACCGAUGGCGAAGGCAGCUUCCUGGCCGACAUCUGACGCUGAGACGCGAAAGCGUGGGUAGCAAACAGG